rnacentral:rRNA from 1 species
UGACGGUACCUGCAGAAAAAGCGCCGGCUAACUACGUGCCAGCAGCCGCGGUAAUACGUAGGGCGCAAGCGUUAUCCGGAAUUAUUGGGCGUAAAGAGCUCGUAGGCGGUUUGUCGCGUCUGCUGUGAAAUCCCGAGGCUCAACCUCGGGCCUGCAGUGGGUACGGGCAGACUAGUGUGCGGUAGGGGAGAUUGGAAUUCCUGGUGUAGCGGUGGAAUGCGCAGAUAUCAGGAGGAACACCGAUGGCGAAGGCAGAUCUCUGGGCCGUAACUGACGCUGAGGAGCGAAAGGGUGGGGAGCAAACAGGCUUAGAUACCCUGGUAGUCCACCCCGUAAACGUUGGGAACUAGUUGUGGGGACCAUUCCACGGUUUCCGUGACGCAGCUAACGCAUUAAGUUCCCCGCCUGGGAGUACGGCCGCAAGGCUAAAACUCAAAGGAAUUGACGGGGACC